UGGCGACAAUGUUCUUUGGUCAUGGUCAUACAAAUCAGACCACGCCCAUAACGCGCCAUAAAGUUAAUCGCUUGCGCAGUCACCUUCUCAGAAGCCAUGA
rnacentral:antisense_RNA from 1 species